ACCUGCUCCAACCACCCACCUACCACCAGUGCUGCCCAUCGAACCACGUCCCCAGGUGCCACAUCCCCACAGUUCUUCUCCAGGAACAGUGACCCCACCACCUCCCUGGGCAGCUGUGCCAAUGCCUGGUUGCUCUUUUGGGGAGUAACUUUUUCCUAACACCCAACCUGAACCUCCUCUGUCACAACUUGAGGCCAUUCCCUCUUGUCCUAUCCCUGGUUAUGCGGGAGCAGAGGCCUACUCUCACCCCACCACAGCCUCCUUACAGGGAGUUAUAGAGCGCAAUAUGGUCUCCCCUGGGCCUUCUCUUCUCCAGACUAAAUGACCCCAGUUCCUCCAGCUUCUUUCCAUUUUUACUCCACACCCCUCACAGCUCCAACCCCUCUGAACAUGCUCCGAGGUUUCCAGGUCUUUCUUGCAGUGAGGGGCCCAAAACUGAACACAGCACACGAGAUGUGAUCUCACCAGUGCCAGAACAGAGGGAUGCUCACCUCCUGCUGCCUGCACUGCUGCUGACCCACGCCAGGACGCCAUCUUGGACACCUGCUGGCUCUCAUUCAGCCAAGCAUCAACCAUUACCCACAGAUCCUUUCCCUGCGUAUAUUGUUUUUGACAUUACAAAUCAGAGAUCUUAAAGGGAAAAAAAAAAAAAAUCCCAUGAAACAAAGCAGCCUUUAGCUGUAGGAAGUUCACCUGCAAGUAAUUCUGACAAGACAGCUGUCCUGGGCAGGGCCUGUCCCCAAGCCUGGAGGCACCAACACAUCUGCACAGACCAGAUUUUCCUGCUGCUGUCCUAUUAUUGAAAGUGAUGACUCCAUACGCACCCAUCAGCCACGAUGGAUUAUUUCCCCCCCGUGCCCACAGCAGCAGCCAUCAGGAAAGCUCCGUCCUGCCGCUCCCCGCUCUGUGCGAUGCUGCUGCCCUCUGCUGCUCCGCCUGCCGCCGCAUUCAAAGAGCUGUUUGCCCGGAGGCAGCUCUCCCGGUUCCAUCCCGCGGGUCAGAAGCACAGGAACAUGGCAAAGAACGUGUCCUUUGCAGUUAAUAAAAACAUAGCAGAGCUCAACAGCUCUGAGUUUCUGCAAUUUUUAUCGUUUGGUGGGAAAAGAAAGGGGAAAAAAAAAAAAAAAAAAAAACACCUAAAACUAAUAAAUGACAUCUCCUGUCGUUCUGCCUGAUACAUGAGGAGCUGUGGGCAUCGCCACUCGGGCUCCUGUAGGCACUCAUACAAUCAGUUGUACAGCAGCAGAUCUGUUCCAGCAGCACUCCUUGUUCCCGAGAUCAGCGUGAGGGCAAACCUUGUGAGCACGUGUGAGUCUCCAGGCAGUUGCACUGAGCUCUGUUCUCGUUGUGGGUCGCAGAGCAGCCUGUAGGAUUCAGUCCUGCUCUAAGAACCGUCCUGGAGCUCCCCUACGAACCCGAAACCCUACUGCAC
rnacentral:lncRNA from 1 species